GCCCGCUUAGCUCAUCGGUAGAGCGCAUCACUAGUAAUGAUGAGGUAACUGGUUCGAUUCCAGUAGUGGGCA